AGCGUUGUUCGGAUUUACUGGGCGUAAAGGGCGCGUAGGCGGCCAGCGCAAGUCCGUUGUGAAAUCUCCGAGCUUAACUCGGAAAGGUCAACUGAUACUGCGCGGCUAGAGUGCGGAAGGGGCAACUGGAAUUCUCGGUGUAGCGGUGAAAUGCGUAGAUAUCGAGAGGAACACCUGCGGCGAAGGCGGGUUGCUGGGCUGACACUGACGCUGAGGCGCGAAAGCUAGGGGAGCGAACGGG
rnacentral:rRNA from 1 species